GAAAAUAUUGUCUUUAUUAUGCAAAGUUAGGGUUUAAUUGUUUGUGUGUGAUUAUGUUUAAAAGGAGACCAGGUGAAAAAUAAACUUGGGCAUCUGUCAAAAGUCCAAGGAUGAGGAAAGCAUCACCAGACCCGACAGGAUCAUGUAUCUGCAAAAGGAUUCAGCAAAUCAGCAGCACACUUCAGCUUUUGUUGUUCAGCUUUAACCUGGAAUAAUAUUCACAUUUAUCAUUUAGCAUGCGUAUUAUAACAAGUGCCUUGGUUUCUGGUUCUGGAUUAGUGAAGAGCUUGUGGAAGAGAUGUGUGGUCAUCUGUUUCCUGAAGAUAGAGAUGCUCUCAUCAGAUCAGAUGAAGGCUUCUGAGGAACCGCUAGGUGGCGCUCAUUCAUUGUUAAACUUUCUCUAUACAUUUAUUCAGUUCAACAAUAACCUACUUUUACCAUUCAGUUAUCUCGAUAAAUUCAUAGAACAAAUACUUUGUGACAAUAAGCAGGAAUUUCACACUCAAUCCAUCAGUAAGCUUGAGUUUACACAGAUCUAAAGUGUAUCAAACCUUUAAAACAAAAUUACAUGAGUUCUCAGGACAGUCAUUAUUUAAUUUAUGAAAUCUAUUAAUGGACCGGUUCCAUGUGAAGAAGAUCUGCACUACUCUUAUUGUACUUGACUUGUCAUGCACAUCAUCAAUGUACUGUAUUUGCACAUUAUAAUGUGAAAAGUGAAAAAUUACUAAUAUGCAUUGUUUUGCUUCAA